GGAAACUGAGGCUAAUACCCCAUAGAUAUUCAAUGCUGGAAGGCUUGGAUAUUGAAAGCGCAAGCGCCAGAGGGUGAGUCUGCGGCCUAUCAGGUAGUAGGUGGUGUAACGGACCACCUAGCCUAAGACGGGUACGGGCCUUGAGAGAGGGAGCCCGGAGAUGGGUUCUGAGACACGAACCCAGGCCCUACGGGGCGCAGCAGGCGCGAAACCUUCGCACUGCGCGAAAGCGCGACGAGGGGAACCCGAGUGCCUCUCCAUUUCGGGGAGGCUUUUCACAAGCCUAAAAAGCUUGUGGAAUAAGGGCUGGGCAAGACGGGUGCCAGCCGCCGCGGUAAUACCCGCAGCUCGAGUGGUGGUCGCUUUUAUUGAGCCUAAAACGUUCGUAGUCGGCCUUGUAAAUCCCUGGGUAAAUUGGGCCGCUUAGCGGUUCAAAUUCCGGGGAGACUGCAAGGCUAGGGACCGGGCGAGGUCAGAGGUACUUUCGGGGUAGGAGUGAAAUCCUGUAAUCCCGAAGGGACCACCUGUGGCGAAAGCGUCUGACUUGAACGGCUCCGACGAUGAGGAACGAAGGCUAGGGGAGCAAACCGGAUUAGAUACCCGGGUAGUCCUAGCUGUAAACUCUGCCCGCUUGGUGUGGCCUGUCCUUCGGGGGCAGGCCGUGCCGGAGCGAAGGUGUUAAGCGGGCUGCUUGGGGAGUACGGCCGCAAGGUUGAAACUUAAAGGAAUUGGCGGGGGAGCACCGCAACGGGAGGAUGCGUGCGGUUUAAUUGGAUUCAACGCCGGAAAACUCACCUGAGGAGACCAGCGUAUGUGGGUCAAGCCGAAGACUUUACCCGAACAACAGCUGGAGAGGUGGUGCAUGGCCAUCGUCAGCUCGUACCGUAGGGCAUUCACUUAAGUGUGAUAACGAGCGAGACCCCCAUCCCUAGUUGCUAACCCCUCCGAAAGGAGGGGUGCACUCUAGGGAGGCCGCUUCCGCUAAGGAAGAGGAAGGAGGGGUCGACGGUAGGUCAGUAUGCCCCGAAUCCUCAGGGCAACACGCGCGCUACAAAGGACAGGACAAUGGGUUCCAACCCCGAAAGGGGAAGGUAAUCCCGAAACCUGUUCGUAG
rnacentral:rRNA from 1 species